rnacentral:rRNA from 1 species
ACUAACAAGGAUUCCCCUAGUAACUGCGAGUGAAGCGGGAAAAGCUCAAAUUUAAAAUCUGGCGGUCUUUGGCCGUCCGAGUUGUAAUCUAGAGAAGUAAUGCCCGUGCUGGACCGUGUAUAAGUCUCCUGGGAUGGGGCGUCAUAGAGGGUGAGAAUCCCGUCUUUGACACGGACUACCAGUGCAUUGUGGUAUGCUCUCAAAGAGUCGAGUUGUUUGGGAAUGCAGCUCAAAAUGGGUGGUAAAUUCCAUCUAAAGCUAAAUAUUGGCGAGAGACCGAUAGCGAACAAGUACCGUGAGGGAAAGAUGAAAAGAACUUUGGAAAGAGAGUUAAACAGUACGUGAAAUUGCUGAAAGGGAAACGCUUGAAGUCAGUCGCGUUGGCCGGGAAUCAGCCUUGCUUUUGCAUGGUGUACUUUCUGGUUGACGGGUCAGCAUCAAUUUUGAUCACUGGAAAAGGCUCAAGGGAAUGUGGCAGCUUCGGCUGUGUUAUAGCCCCUGUUCACAUACAGUGGUUGGGAUUGAGGAACUCAGCACGCCGCAAGGCCGGGUUUCGACCACGUUCGUGCUUAGGAUGCUGGCAUAAUGGCUUUAAGCGACCCGUCUUGAAACACGGACCAAGGAGUCUAACAUGCCUGCGAGUAUUUGGGUGGAAAACCCAGGUGCGCAAUGAAAGUGAAAGUUGAGAUCCCUGUCGUGGGGAGCAUCGACGCCCGGACCAGAACUUUUGGGACGGAUCCGCGGUGGAGCAUGUAUGUUGGGACCCGAAAGAUGGUGAACUAUGCCUGAAUAGGGUGAAGCCAGAGGAAACUCUGGUGGAGGCUCGUAGCGAUUCUGACGUGCAAAUCGAUCGUCAAAUUUGGGUAUAGGGGC